GGCGUCCUAUACUUGCAAGUCUCCAUUGCGAAGUUCGUACCCUCCGUCUCCGUUCCUCCUCCUUCGUUCGGUGUACUGCUGUACCUCUCUGCAAUACCUGCCGCCACUGGCUCCUCCGCCGCCGCCGAGCGCGGGCUGCCGAUGAGCGAGGAGAGACGAAGGAGGGCGCCGCCGCCGUCGGCCUCCACCCCAAAGUCGCUGCCGGCCCCAAGAUGUUCUUGUACGUGUAUGUACAUAGUUAUCAUUUUCUAAUUGGUCCUUGAUCCAGUUCAGAUGUCUCAAGUUCUUGGGGUAUGAAGUUAAGUACGUGCGCAUCUUCACCGCCGUUGAUGAUAAGGUAAUGUUCCAUGUGGAAUGUACACUUACUAGUUGAGGGAGGAUGACUGUUUUAUAUGUCUGUUGCUUUUUUAGAAAAACAAAAGAACUGCCUUUGUUUCUUCUGAACAUGUGCUUGUAUUGAGAGAACAACAUUUACUGCCAAAAGAAGUUUGUUAUCCCACUCGUUGGAUCAUCAUGUACUUCGUUCCCAACAAUCUUGCAUAUAAUGUACUUCCUUCCCAACAUGCCUGUAUAUCAUGUACUUUGUUCCAAUCAUGUACUGUACUUCGUUUUUGUUCUAGGUCCUACUCUUUCGUAAGUAUUUUCAUAGCCACAUUUACUUCAUUUCUAUACUUCUGGUUUAGCAUAUAAUUAGAGCUCAAUAUAAAGAGUACUGGUACUUGUAGUAGUGCAAAUUUUGUUUUUCAAAUUAUGUGCUAUUUACCAGAUUGGACGAUAUGUACCUUAAGGGCUUCAUUAGCCACAUCAUGUACUUCGGCUUUGUUCUUGGUCCUACUAGAUCAAUAAAUGUACUUCAGGUUUAUCAUAUAAUCAAUGAUAUGAGUGUUCAGUUUUUCAAUAAAUGUACUUGUAUUAGUGCCAGUUUUUCAAAAUUCAUGUACGUGUACCAAAUUAACUGAACAUUGUGGCUGAUCUGUUUCAAAUGUUUGUUGUGCUUGUACCAAAUUAACCGAACAUUGUACCAAAUUAACUGAACACUUGUAUUAGGUUUGUGUUCUUUCAUUCUCUUCAACGGUUGGUGCCAUCAUUUCUUCUAAGUUUGGGUGGCGGUGCGAAGAUUUGGCCAGUUCUUUAAUUCCGUUGGAUCGUUUUUAUUGUGUAAGAUUUGAACAGAAAUGUGACUAUCUCAAUCAUCGCGGUACAUGAGACGAUGAGUCAAUCAAAGGUACGUCCCGUGCUUGCAAAGUACUGGUACUCUUGACUUGUAAAAACUGUAGUCUCUGCUGUGUACUGAUGAAAUCUGUUAAAAAUCUAGUGUUUCAUUCCAAUAAGUACUCGUACUUGUAUUAGUUCUCUCUCCUUCCAUUGGUUCAUGUUCUGUUUAUCCUUCCUAGUUCCAGUACUAAUAUUUCUCUUAUGUACUUGUAUGGGUAUUCCAAAGUUCCAGUACCAAUGUCUCUCCAGUCCCGUGUAGCUUUCUUCUCUCCAGGGUACACAACAACAAGCGCAUAGAUGUACUUGUACUUUCAAAACUACUACAAUAUGUUGUUUUAUUCCUUGUACACAGCAGGAAGCAUGAAUAUGUACUUGUUUUAUCACCUAUAGUUCAUCCUUUCUAUAAUGGUUUCUUCCCUUGUAAUGUGCUUGUACCUUGCAAAUGGAGUACAAACAUGUUUACGGACAUAUAUAUACUUUUGUACUUUCAAAUCUA